UUUGUACAUUUAAUUUGAGAAACCCAUCUUUUGUUGAGAGGCUGUCAAUGAAUAGCAGUUUCAUUGAAAAGCAGCGGGAUGACCAGAAAAGUAUUUUACAAUGGCAAGGGAGUAGAAAGCUAGCGUAAUAUUCAGAAAGCUAGGUAAUUGAGCAAUCCUUUAAUUCAUUGCUAAGCAUGCUAGGUAAACGCAGUAAACCUUUCAGUUUUCAUUUAGGUAUAAGGCUGUUUAAUGAGUAUCUCCACUAAAUUUAAAGAUCAAAACUCAGUAUCAAUUCUUAAAAGUUUUAUUUUAUUUAAUAAUCAUAUACUUCUCAUAAUCUUUCAAUUUUUUCCCCAUUUUGAUGAUAUUUUUAUUAAUCCUACAGUAAGCUCUAUGAUAUCGUUAUUCUUCAAAUAGGCUGGUCAGCACGUGGACGGUGUUACUUAUCGUUAAAUAAAUCGUACUAAGGAGGUGCGAUGUAAAUGAUAUGCUUGUCAAGUAUUAACUGCUCUCCACCAACCGCCGGUUUAACUGAUUAUUGUUGAAAAGCGCAGACGAAGUUUAGAGAAUUACUAGCGUAUUUUAAAUUUAAUCA